AGAUUUUCUACUGAGAAUUGCUACUGCUUCAAAGUUAAGAAUGAAAAAAGAAUCCCGAGUCUUGCCAAUUGUAGGUCUCAGAAUUUCUGGGCAUCCAAAUCUGAUUGUGAAAUCCUGGAGAGAAAGAAGUCGUCAAGGUAAAUGCUUUCUUAUGGACAUUCUUGGCCACCAGCCAUUUGGCCACUUCUAGUAAUACUGGAAAUCAGUAGAUACUACCUUGGUAUUUGAUAUUUAGACAAUAAACAUUCAGUUACCACCCUC